UGGGGAAUUUUCCGCAAUGGGCGAAAGCCUGACGGAGCAAUACCGCGUGAGGGAGGAAGGCUUUUGGGUUGUAAACUUCUUUUCUUAGGGAAGAAGAACUGACGGUACCUAAGGAAUCAGCAUCGGCUAACUCCGUGCCAGCAGCCGCGGUAAUACGGAGGAUGCAAGCGUUAUCCGGAAUUAUUGGGCGUAAAGCGUCCGCAGGUGGCUUUUCAAGUCUGCUGUCAAAGACCAGAGCUCAACUCUGGGCAGGCGGUGGAAACUGGGAAGCUAGAGUACGGUAGGGGUAGAGGGAAUUCCCGGUGUAGCGGUGAAAUGCGCAGAUAUCGGGAGGAACACCAGUAGCGAAGGCGGCUCGCUGGGCCAUUCCUGACGCUGAGACGCGAAAGCGUGGGGAGCAAACAGGAUUAGAUACCCGUGUAGUCC
rnacentral:rRNA from 1 species